rnacentral:sRNA from 1 species
GAGGGAGAUCUGGCUGUGACAUAGGUCACCAUGAUUGUCAGGGUUGAUUCAGCUAGUCUGGCUACUGAGGUAUGAGUCCUCUUCCUCCUUC